GCAUUUUUAAUGAAUGUACUGUUAUUUUGCAGUGGGAUAUUUGUGUGCCUUUUGAUAUCAGAAAUGUGCGUAAUUAUUUGAUGGCUUUUAGACUAUUUGAUGAUACAGGUCUUAGUCUGGUUAAGACAAAUCAUCUCCAGUUUACAGUGCUAGAAUUUAAUUAAUUUGUACACUCCACAUGGAAUUUGGAGGAGAAAAUCCUUCACGUUAAUGGGCUAGUUUUCCGUUUAUUCAGUUCUAGGAAAUAUUUCACAUUAUACGCCUUCCUGCAACAGAUCACUGCAAGAGAGGUUGUGAUGGCUGUAACCAAGGUUCGCAUCCUGGAGUAAAGUGUGUUUGUAAUGAACCUGGUCUGUCUAAAUGGAGCAGCGAUGAGGGAGGCAGUGGAGAAUUUGUUCACAUUCCGGUGACACGGCUUGAUCUCCUCUGUGCUCUCAUUUCCAACGAAAUCUUAGAAGCUGAUAAGAGGUUGAAAUAUAUACUAUCACAUAUGCAUCCUGAAGAGAACGUGUACAAGUAGAAAGAAGAGGGCACAAAGAACCUGCUGACACAUUUUGCUAUCUGUGUGAGUGUGUUAAGAAACAGCAUUCUAGCAUAGAAUCCUAAAAGGAUUUGAUAAAAAAGGUACAUGCCCAAAUACUGUGUAAGUGUCUGGCAAUUGCCACCAUUCUUCCAGAAGAAGUGAACACUAUGGGAAGGUUGGGCAGGCAUACAAUGACAUUAUGUAGCUAUUGAGGAUUGUGAAGGUGUAAGACUUUAUCCUACUUGCAAUCUGACAAGUGGUCCUUCUAUGGUGUCAGGGGUGGGAGACUGGGGACUCCUGAUAAGAGGGAAGUAUAGAAUACCAUCGCAGCAACAGCAAUAUCCA
rnacentral:lncRNA from 1 species